UACGGGGGGGGCAAGCGUUGUUCGGAAUUACUGGGCGUAAAGGGUUCGUAGGUGGCCCGCUAAGUCAGACGUGAAAUCCCUCAGCUCAACUGGGGAACUGCGUCUGAGACUGGUGGGCUUGAGUGCAGGAGAGGAACGCGGAAUUCCAGGUGUAGCGGUGAAAUGCGUAGAUAUCUGCAGGAACACCCGUGGCGAAAGCGGCGCGCUGGACCACUACUGACGCUGAGGAACGAAAGCUAGGGGAGCAAACAGG
rnacentral:rRNA from 1 species